ensembl:snRNA U6 U6 spliceosomal RNA
GAGCUCACUUCGGCAGCACAUAUACUAAAAUUGGAACGGUACAGAGAGGAUCAGCAAGGCCCCUGCACAAGGAUGACACGCAGAUUCGUGAAGCCUUCCAUAUUUUU